UACGUAGGCAGCAAGCGUUGUUCGGAGUUACUGGGCGUAAAGGGGGCGUAGGCGGCCCUGUAAGUAUGGUGUGAAAUCUCCCGGCUUAACUGGGAGGGUGCGCUAUAGACUGCGGGGCUCGAGUGUGGGAGAGGAAAGUGGAAUUCCUGGUGUAGCGGUGAAAUGCGUAGAUAUCAGGAGGAACACCGGUGGUGUAAACGGCUUUCUGGACCAUAACUGACGCUGAGGCACGAAAGCGUGGGUAGCAAACAGG
rnacentral:rRNA from 1 species